UUGCUGCUCUCUGUCCCUCCAAGUUUCUACACUGCUCACCUCUUGUAUGAUAUUAUCAGUAAUAAAGAGCUUGAGGAAGUAAUACAAAUAUUACAAUUUCUUUAAAAGUAUAAAAAGGAGUGAUAUCAAAAACAUGUUUUUUGCGGAGUAGCUGGAAUGAUAAAAACUUUUCACUCACAAAUAUUGCGAGAAAACAACCUCACCGGGUCAUUUUUGACCCACUUAUGCAUCUGAUGGUUAAAUAUACUACAGUCAUUGUUCAUACAACAAAAAAAUACUCUUGAAUUCUGAGGGGAUCAGGUGGGAACUUUUUUCAGAUUUGGUUGAUUUUAUAUUGGAAUGAUCUGUUCUCAUUACCAGAUAACAUUCUAAUCUACUUUGGCUCCUAGUUUCUUUUUCUAAGUGUUCUAUAUAGGUUUCAGUUCACCACUUUAAAUUUAGUUUAGAACUGCCAGGUAAUAAAAUCUAAUUUACAGACUGAACCUUUACAACUGUAAAACAAAGAAAAAGUUUUCAUUUCAGUUGUGGACAGUUAGAAUAGUUCUGAUUCUCUGUUAUAAUGAUCCAAGGCUUAAUCUGAGUUUGUUUUGGCUUUUUCAUUUUAUGAUAUGAGCGUGGGACCACAAUUAGGCGAACAGCAAACCUCAGAUUUUUGUGCACAAUGCUGCGAAAAGUGAGUCAAGGCAGUUGGGGAUGACUGUGACUGCCAGGCACAACCACUAAUCAGUGCUAGGCGGUCCGUCCUGCAGAUGAGAAGUGGGCUGCUUGUGGCUCCAGAGCCGCAUGAUGGGCUACUUGUCUUUUAUUCCCUCCAUCUCUGCCUGUUAAUGCCCAAUUAUGCGUGACUGCGUGGGUGAAUUUACAGUUUGCUGUAACCUCCUCCAAAACAAAGUUACUCAGCAGAAUACUGAAUCAGAGAGAUGCAGCAGCAGCAGUGCAUCUUUGAGUCAGAAGCUCAAAAGGAAAUACAGUCUUCUUCUUUUUUUCUGAUUCAGCAUAUGUUUCCAGGCUGGGUGCAAGAUUAUGUGAGAUGUUUGCUGAUGUGUAAUAUUAGUUCUAUAGCCGAACUGGUUUAUCUUGUUUCUUGGAGGAGGAUGUGUGUUUUCACAGAUAAAUUCACUCCUGUGAUUCUUAUGCCUCUCUGUUAUUGUAGAAGCUUAUUGAUUACCAGUUGCAGAGGUUGGAUACAAGAACUCAGGGCUUCACAUUGCAGCAGAUUGUGGAUCCGCUUCUGCUCCAACACACACAUCUAUCGCUAUGACAACACAUACACAUGGAUAGUUUCAGGUGUUAAUCGGCUUCCCAGAUAGAAAUGGUGUGAUAUACUAAUAAGGCAGGCGCGUCACAGAGCCAAUCAGAUAACCAGCAUGCACAUAAAUUCACACAUUCCUGUGGUACAUUCACCGGAACAGUGAACCUCUAAUUCGAUUAGUCAUUCCUAAUUACAGCUAAUUUCAUGAUUCUUAGCUUUCAAAAUGAAUGGCAUGACACCGAAAAAUCAAAAACUAAUUUUGAAAACAUCCUAAAGAAAUGUACAGCUUCUGUUUUUUCGUAUUUCUCUCCUCUGUGUUGGAAUUUUUAUUGAUCUCUCACUGCACUAUUAGGGUUUGAAGGCAAUGGGUCAUCAAACAGCAGGAGAGAUAAGUUGGCUUUUCCCUUUUGGAGGAAAUAGAGCUGAAAUUGCUCUUUUGAACUCUGGUCUGACUGCAGAUCUUCUGCUGCUGCCUUCACACAGUUGCACGUCGGCCAGCAGCAAACCAUCAAACCCAGCUGUCUGCCAAAAUGCUCACCCUGAAGGAUCCUUCCUACCUUUACAUGCAUUCACAGCACACACGUAUCGAGUGCUGGGCUAAUUAAUUUAAGUGUUCUGUUCUGCCUAAGGAGUUGAUCAGUGUUGACUAAUUCAAAAUCCAUCUUCUCCUCAAGGUCCUCUUUGAGCAAGGUUUAGCAGAAAACAUUCCCUCAUUGUCCCUGAAAGUAUUCAAAGCUUUUGGUCGGUUCUAUUGUGCUGUUCAUUUUAUUCAGAAUGCUUAGAAUUUAUUGAGAAGUCUGGGUGUAAUGCAAGAGACUGUGGCUCUGUCAAAUAGAAAAAAAAUGUCUAUGUAACAGACCUAUUGCUGUUUCCAACCUGUUCUCAUUUUUAGGGCCUCAAGUACUUCUGUUUUUCCAGUUUAAAAGAUAAAGGUGAUAUAAUGGUAUCACAGGGGCAUUUCUAGCUAUUGCUUCCUAACAUUGGGCAAUUGAGAAGCGCACGACCCGCCAGUGUCACGCCAGAUGAUACAGAGACUUCACCACCCUACAGACACUGGCUGCACCUGAUUGGCCGAACGCUUGACUUGGAAGCUGCUUGCUCCUGAUUUAAGACAAAACCAACAUGGCAACUCACUAGAAAACCUUCUCUUAUUACAAAAACAGUUCAGUAAAAUGUGCCUCUGAAAACCUUUUGAGCCAAGUUUUUUUGGAAGGUUCCACAGACGGCAGAUGACCUAUGAUACUCCUCAUUUGCAUAAGGUAGCCUCAAUCUCAACCUAAUGCAAAUGAGAAGCAGGUAAAAUGAUGCCCCAUCUCUUGAAACACAAUAUAUACAGACAAUGAAUGGGAAGUGUUGAAGUGACAGAUCCUGUGGACAUGUAGCAGAAGACUGAGGCUUGUGCCCCAUGCUGGAGUAUUAUUUCUUUAGUUGUGUUUUACGUUGUGAAUUAAUUAAGUCUCUUUUUCACAUGGUUAAGAUUAAGCAUCAACAUCAAAAAUAAAUGUUAUAAAGUAAACUUGUUGCUACCUGAACAGGAGCGACAAUGGCAAUAUAAACAGAAAAUUUAGUUCUGGAUUCCUUGUGCUUAUUUCUAAUGCUUACAGAUUAUUAUAGGUCUAUUAAAUCACCGUGCACAUUGAAAAAUUACACUGAAGGGUUUUUAGUGUGUUAAAGUUUAACACCAAGGGAUCCUGACAAAGCUGCAGUGUGUGACAAGAACAGGCUCAUAUCGCUGAAGAAGUCUGCCGGUGCAUUCAUACUAGCAAUGAAAACUGUACGUCCCACCAGCUCUAUUGCUGAUGUAAUUCUUAUGGGUGCUUAGCAAUAAUGGUACUUUGUUUUGAACUGUCAACUUGAAUCAAUACAGUGGGUGGAGCUAUUCACGGCACCCAUGGUUUCAGAAGUCAAAAUCACAAAACCAGCACAGUGUUACAGUCCGACUGCUCCUCCCUUCUGCUGUUUUUUCCUCUUCCCUCAUGUCUCCUGUUUGUGCUCCCUUCUCAUUUCUCACUUUGUACGCUGUUGAUUCUUUUACUUCACCUCCCCUUCUCGUGUCUUUGUUCCACCUACCAAUGGAUGCAAGAGGAAGAGGCAAGGAAAAAUGUGAGGAGAGACAAGUUAAAGUUACAGUCCUUUAACAAAAGGAGAUAUCCUUGUUGUGUUGAGCGGUCGUUUUAAAGCGAUGUCAGUAAAAUACGGCAUGUGCCCAGCAUACAUUUAUUUUUUGUUCAUUUCAGAACAUGGCAGAAUUUGAUAAGAAAGUACGGAGGUCAUGCAUUUAAGUUUUUUAUUCAGGAGUACUCUACAAAUAAAAGUAUCUCUGUAGGUGUCUCAGGAUCUGGAGGUACACUUCUCUGAUCUGCAGAUAGUGGCUUCAUCAACUUCACCAAUAUGUUUGUCGGUUCUCCAUUUGCUAUCCUGUUGUCUUUCUCUUUUACCCUCCCCCUGAUUGGUUGAGGUAGAUGUCUGCCCUCCCUGAGCCUGGUCCUGUGAGGUUUUUUCCUUUCCUGGUAACGGCAAGUUUUUUAACUCCCCAUCUUUGCCAAGUUCUUACUCCAGGAAAUAUUGGGUUUAUUGUGUUUUUCCAUAUAAAUUUCACAAGAUCUUCACGUUACGUUAAAUGCAAUUGUGGCAGGACGGCCCAGUCCGUCUCCACAGGUGUAUUAGAUCAGGUGUGCGCAGCUGGGAGUCAUUAUCCUGAUGCACCUGGCAUACGGGGCGGUGCUACACUGCAGUAUAUUUGAGAGAGGGUUGCACAUUUUCCACAUGCGUCCUCUACCUGGAGCUGGGGUGUUCACUCAGCCGCGUGGUUUUGCCGUGGCAGUCUCGAGAUGCUGGCGGAGUAUUUCUCUACCUACCUGUCAGAAUUUGGCUGGUACCUUGGCCGAAGGCUGGGAGCCGGGUAUGUGUGUGGCCUCGGAGCUGGGCAUAACCUAUGCAUCGCAUUGGAUUUUUGAGUGAUUGUGCGGCUGUUUCCCCUGAUGCCUGAGGAGCUGCAGUUUUAUUGACCAGCCGCUCCACGUCUGAAGCAAGCUGCUGCUGUUCUGUCUCCAUGUUCUGCCUCCACGAUCUGUUCAGUGCGCCAAGUUCUCUUCCCAUUGGGAAUUGCUGCAUUGGUCAUACUGUAUGGUUGUAAGGAUAAUCUAGGUGUGCGUGUGCCCAUCGCCUGGCACGCCCGUUGAUUUUACUGAUCUGUUUAUUAUUCUCUCUUUUUGUGAUUUGUAUCUUUAUUUUUUCAAUUAUUUCUUUACGUUUGGUAUGAUUGUUUCUUUUGUUUUUGAUUGGUUUGGGUGAGCAGGUGGCCUGAUUAGCUUUGGUGGUGACCUCCAGGGUUCAGUAUAAGAGUGUGGUGUCCGAUCUCUGUUCCUGUGGCUAACCAUAUUUCUUUUUCUGUGGACAGGAGCUGUUGGGCUGUAUGACGAGUGGCUGGCUGAUUUCCCCCUGAGGUGGUGGUCCCCUCACUCUCUGUACAGUAGAGCACUUGGGUGUCCAUUAGUGGUUUUGGGUUUUUUUUUUUGCACACGUGAUGCGUUUCAUCCGGACCCUCUCCCUCCCUCUUCAGUCAGUCAUUCCAAUCUGGUCAGCUACUUGCUCUGCUCACCUACCCAUCAGCCUCGUCUUGCUCUCCACUCGGCCACUUUGAUCCCCUGCCAGAGAGUCAACUAUCUCCAACAAUACCACUCUCAGUUCACCACUCCACUCAACCUGCACAGUCGCCGCCACUCUGCCAACUACAUCACCUGCCAACUACAUCAGCUGCCAGUAUCUCCCUCUCUGGACACUACCUGGACAGUUACCGAGCACAGUGUCCUCUACCUGCUGUUUGCCAUUCCAUCACUUUUCAGCUACAGUUCUUCCCUGUAAGGAAUCAUGGCUCCUAUGAAUCUCAAUCAUCUUUCCUCUUCACCAUUGCCAUCUCUAAAACUAUUGUUGAACUGUUGCCACUGUGCUUGAAUCUGCUUCUGGGUCCAAACAAAGGAAAUUUUAUACCGUAAUACAUAGACUUAACUGACAUCAUCUGUAUAAAAGGAAAAAGUGGACACGCCACCAUGGCAGCACAUAGUACUUAGAAACUAGAUCACAAGUUGACAGGAAAAAAGAAGAAAGCCGAACAUCCAGCAUGUUUUUGACAGUCACUCCAUUUUGUGAGAUUACACUGUUUAUACAUUAAAAAACUACUGAUGGUCUGAAAAUCACCGUACAUUUGACUAAAAAUAAAAACUCAAAUACAAAUAUUCAAUGAAACGUCACAGUGAAAAGCAACCAGAUGAUGUCAGUUACAACUAAACUUUCCAGCAGAUUUCUUCUCUGCAAAAGAAGUCUAGUUAAUCGAACCAUCUAAUUUGAAUGUGGCCUCAUCACUCCACACAAUCUUUGUGGGAAAGUGUGCAUGUUCGGUACAUCGUUCCAAUUACCACUCGCAAUACUGUACUCUUCGGUCUGGAUCAUCGUCAUUAAGAGCAUGGACUAAUCUUGGAAUGUAACUUCUCCAUUGACAACGUUUCAUGAUGCGAUGGACAGAUGAUUUUGAAAUGCCUACGUCACGACUAGCUUGCCACACAGACUUUCUUGGACCUCUUUUUAUGGGGAUACCUAAAAGACAAAGUCUACGCAAUGAGACCUGCAACAGUCACUGAAUUGAGAGCAACCAUUGAACGUGAAUGCACGCAAAUACCAAGGGAAUUGUUUCAUGAUGUGUGCUAUUCCAUUGCUUCGCGUUGUCAGCAGUGUCUGGACCAGAACGGACAUCGGUUUGAGAACAGGCGGUGACAAAACAAUAGAAUGAUAUUCUUUUACAUGUUGAAAAUCAAAUGAAUUAUAAUAUAAAUCUAGUUUACAAUUAUUUAAAGUGUGUAUACAUUUUUUUUGGGACACCCUGUGUAUACUGCCAGGCAUGCACACUACGGAUCUUGCGGGGUAGACGCUGCACGAACACAAUUUUGGACUCCAUGCGAAUAAAGUAGUUGAGUGGUCAACCAAUAUAACAACACUGCUGUAUAUCUUUAUAGCCACAUUGAUAAUAACGGCUACCAGGCGGGGUAUCAAAACUCUUGAUUUUUACGCUGAAAGUCAAAUCCAAACCAUCUCUGUGUGAAAUCUGUAAAUUGUCUCUUUCAGGUCUCCCACCAGUAUGGAAUUUUCAUGGCUUAAUGCUGUCAAAUUAAUGGUUGUAUCUAAAUGUGCAAAAAGUGAAAUGAGGUUGUUGUUAGUGCAAUAAAAGAAGCUGGAUUUUCAAAAGAAAAGCCACUACACUUUACAGUCAUCACAAUCUGAGCUUGAUUGCAUGAGAUGGUGGCUGUGGUAUUUCCCAGGAUACACCGCGAGAAAGGAAGGCACCUUUCAUGAGUCAUCAGUCUGUCACAAGGCCUGUAGAGAAGUCACCACAAUCAAACUUGACUGCAAUUUAAUUUUUGUGCUGUGGGCAGAGUGCAGAUUUUCUCACACGUAUACACUGAUGCAUGAGGGAACAGCCUGAAUAAAGCUUUUGUUCUGACAUCAUGACUUGAUAUAUAUGCAUGUUCCAUAUGCACAUUAUUGGUCAUAUAUUAAAGUCUAACAAUGCU